rnacentral:rRNA from 1 species
AGACCAGACUCCUACGGGAGGCAGCAGUGGGGGAUAUUGCACAAUGGGGGGAACCCUGAUGCAGCGACGCCGCGUGGGUGAAGAAGUAUUUCGGUAUGUAAAGCCCUAUCGGCAGGGAAGAAAUUGGACGGUACCUGACUAAGAAGCCCCGGCUAACUACGUGCCAGCAGCCGCGGUAAUACGUAGGGGGCAAGCGUUAUCCGGAUUCACUGGGUGUAAAGGGAGCGUAGACGGCGAUGCAAGCCAGAUGUGAAAGCCCGGGGCUCAACCCCGGGACUGCAUUGGGAACUGGCGCGCUGGAGUGCCGGAGGGGUAGGCGGAAUUCCUAGUGUAGCGGUGAAAUGCGUAGAUAUUAGGAGGAACACCAGUGGCGAAGGCGGCCUACUGGACGGUGACUGACGCUGAGGCUCGAAAGCGUGGGGAGCAAACAGGAUUAGAUACCCUCGUA